AAUAAAUGCAGUUUUGCACUAUUCAUCUCCAACGUUUGACCGUUCGUCUUAUUUGAAAAUUUUUUAUAAUUAUUUUUUUAUUGUUAUUAGAUGAUAAAAUAUGAAUAGUACUUUAUGUGUGACUAUUUUUUUAAAAAAAUUUCAUAAAUUUUUCAAAUAAGACGGACGGUCAAACGUUGGACACGAAUUUCCACGGCUGCACUUAUU
rnacentral:pre_miRNA from 1 species